rnacentral:rRNA from 1 species
UAGUCUGCAACUCGACUACAUGAAGCUGGAAUCGCUAGUAAUCGCGGAUCAGAAUGCCGCGGUGAAUACGUUCCCGGGUCUUGUACACGCCGCCCGUCACACCAUGGGAGUCGGAAAUGCCCGAAGUCUGUGACCGAACCGAAAGGAAGGAGCAGCCGAAGGCAGGUCGGAUGACUGGGGUGAAGUCGUAACAAGGUAAC